UACAGAGGGUGCAAACGUUGCUCGGAUUUACUGGGCGUAAAGCGCGUGUAGGCGGUCUACUAAGUCGACUGUGAAAGCCCAUGGCUCAACCAUGGAAGUGCAGUCGAUACUGGCUGACUCGAGUCCCGGAGAGGAUGGCGGAAUUCCCAGUGUAGAGGUGAAAUUCGUAGAUAUUGGGAGGAACACCGGUGGCGAAGGCGGCCAUCUGGAAGGGUACUGACGCUGAGACGCGAAAGCGUGGGGAUCAAACAGG
rnacentral:rRNA from 1 species